AUCUCUUAAGUUUUAUAAACUUUGAAUUGCAAAUUCAAAAUAUAAAAGAGAUU
rnacentral:tRNA from 1 species